rnacentral:rRNA from 1 species
CCUACGGGAGGCAGCAGUGGGGAAUUUUGGACAAUGGGGGAAACCCUGAUCCAGCCAUUCCGCGUGAGUGAAGAAGGCCUUCGGGUUGUAAAGCUCUUUCGGCAGGAACGAAACGGCGGACUCUAACAUAGUCUGUCAAUGACGGUACCUGAAGAAGAAGCACCGGCUAACUACGUGCCAGCAGCCGCGGUAAUACGUAGGGUGCGAGCGUUAAUCGGAAUUACUGGGCGUAAAGCGUGCGCAGGCGGCUUUGUAAGACGGAGGUGAAAUCCCUGGGCUUAACCUAGAAACGGCGUUCGUGACUGCAAGGCUAGAGUGCGGCAGAGGGGGGUGGAAUUCCUGGUGUAGCAGUGAAAUGCGUAGAGAUCAGGAGGAACACCGAUGGCGAGGGCGGCCCACUGGGUUGGCACGGACGCGCAGGCACGAAAGCGGGGGGAGCAAACAGGAUUAGAUACCCAAGGAGU